UUGCCUAGUGGCAAUGCACUGGUUUGCAAAACUGGUUUUUUGCAACUUUUCUACCUGCUUUGGGUUUCAAAUCAGAUUUGCAUUAGUAUUGGUGGUAUUUUUCCGUGGAACUUUUCGAAAUAGCUGCAAUUUUCCAAAUUUCUGGAAAAUUUGCGUGCCCUUCGCAACCCUUCCAAUCCUUUUUUCCUCUAUAAAUAGUUGCAGCGACGCCAAGGUCUUUCUAUUGUUUGUUUCACGCACACCUGGAUCUUGGACGUCGCAGCUGCAAACCUUUUUGUCUUGUCUUGGACUUUUGUUCAUGGCGACAUAAACAUUGGUUGAAGCCAUAAUUUUCUUGGAUUCCUUUGACAAGGAUUUGGAUCCUCUCGCGUAAAUAAUCCUGGUUUUUUUUCUGCAAGAAUUGCCGAUUUUUCCCCUUUUUCUGUGGCUCCGAGCUCAUCUUUGCAUUUUGUUUUUACACAAUUGUUGUGUAUGCAGAAUCUCUGCGUAAGAGAGGCAUUUUUAUUGGUUUUGGAAGGCCAUAACGACUUUGGAGUACACUACUUUUUGGGUACGGGCAACCCUCAUCGGAAACCCGCAACAAUUUUCUAGUUGGAACUCUGCUGAAGGCAGCCUAGGCGAAGCAAAUUUACCCUACAUCAAGUGUGAUUAGUGAAAGUGU